UCCUGGUGUCGCGAGCUCUGGUGGCGGCCAUCUUACACCGCUGGCUUCAUCCUUGCAUUGGAGGAGUUGUGUUUUACCAUUGGUAACGUUACCGGGCCGGGUAGAGUUUUAUUCACCGCUGGGACCACAGGGGAGGCGACCUGUCUGCGCGGUGACACGAAGUGCUGCCCUGAGCCUGACGCGACACCCGCAGGCCUGACUUCUGCGUUACCGCUCCAGCUCCUCUCCGGCCCCGGGAGAGAGGCACAAACAUGAUCAUAGAGGACGUCGAGGCCUUAAAGCACUGGCUGUCUAAGACCUUGGAGCCCAUCUGUGACGCUGAUCCAUCAGCCCUUGCAAAAUACGUUGCUGCGUUGGUGAAGAAAGAUAAGAGUGACGGAGAGCUGAAGGCCCUGUGUAUAGAUCAGCUGGAUGUUUUUCUUCAGAGAGAAACACCAAGCUUUGUAGACAAAUUAUUUGAAGCUGUGAACACAAAGAGCUAUCUCCCACCCCCUGAACCUACAUCCACAGUAAUUGUUAAAGAAGACCCCUUAGAAAACCAAGAAAAAGAACCAAAGAUAGAAGAGGUACCCAAAGACGAUGAAAAAGAAAAAAAACCUUUAAGAAGAGUGACCCAUAGCCCGCAGCCAUCUACUGCACGACACAGAGAAAAUAAGGAAAAUAAUAGAAAACGAAGUAACUCUGACAGGGAGAGCACGUCUGUUACGUCUUUUAGAUCAGGAGGUCAGGAACAGAAACCAGAUAUUGAUACUACAUCAGGCCGCCUAAGUGGAAGCAAAGUGCAGACUUCAAAGAAUACAAGGAGUAGGGAAGACCGAAAAAAAGAUGACCGUUCUCGUAAAAGGGAGCAUGAGCGGAUCCUGCCCCGGAGAGAUUCCUACAGGGAUAGAUACAACAGACGAAGGGGGCGAAGUCGUAGUUACAGCAGAAGUCGUAGUCGCAGUUGGAGUAAAGAAAGGCAACGUGAUCGAGACAGGGAUAGAAGCCGGAGUCGAACAAGAAGUAGAACAAGGAGCAGAGACAAGGAUUCCGGAAGACCUAAAUAUAAUCUUGAGCGGUCAGAUCCCUCAGAUGACGGUUACCAGACCACUACCCCGGUACCUCACAUUGGAUCGGCACAUUAUCCUGUACCGACGCUAAGCAGCACUAUCACAGUGAUAACACCUUCACAUCAUGGCAAUAAUUCAGCGGAAAAUUGGCAAGAAUUCCAUGAAGACCAAGUGGACCACAGCAAUUAUGGAAGACCUCCCAUGCCCAAGAAACGCUGCAGAGACUAUGAUGAGAAAGGAUUUUGCAUGCGAGGUGAUCUGUGUCCAUUUGAUCAUGGCAGCGAUCCUGUAGUUGUUGAAGAUGUGAAUCUACCUGGAAUACUUCCAUUCCCUGCACAGCCACCUGUUGUAGAUGGACCACCCCCACCAGGACUUCCACCUCCUCCAUCACUUUUAACCCCUCCCCCUGUAAAUUUACGACCGCCAGUUCCUCCACCGGGUCCUCUCCCACCCAGCCUUCCACCUGUUACAGUAAUGCAGGCACAUAUGAACAUGCGACCAACACAGAUGCCUUCAGCUGCCAGCGCACAUGUAACAGGCCCCCCUCCGCCUCUUCCACCUUUACAGCCGGCUGGAAUGGAUGCUCCUCCGAAUUCAGCCACAAGCUCUGUCCCUACUGUAGUGACUACUGGCAUUCAUCAUCCUCCUCCCCCUGGUGCUCCACCUCCACUUUUUUCCUCAGGACCUAUUCCUUUAUUUCCAGAAACAUAUGAUUCUGAUGGUUACAAUCCAGAAGCGCCAAGCAUGACAAAUACUUCAAGACCUAUGUACAGACAUCGUGUGCAUGCCCAGAGGCCAAAUUUAAUAGGCCUGACUUCUGGAGACAUGGAUUUACCACCAAGAGAAAAGCCAGUGAACAAUAAUAUGAGAAUUGUCGUGGACUCUGAUCCUCGGAAAAGAAACCUUCCACCCCCAGACUCUGGAAUACUUCAGAAAAUACCCCGGUUUGAAAAGCCAAAUUUCAUCAGAAUGAACGCCCCUGCCUUUCAGAAGAAAGUUGCAUUUGGAAAUGAAAAUACGAAGCUUGAGCUGAGGAGAAUUCCUUCGGAGCUGAAUAACAUCAGUAAACUGAAUGAGCAUUUCAGUAAAUUUGGAACACUGGUGAAUCUGCAGGUUGCAUACGAAGGAGAUCCUGAAGGUGCUUUAAUUCAGUUUGCAACACAUGCUGAAGCCAAGAAGGCCAUCUCGAGCACAGAAGCUGUUCUGAAUAACCGGUUUAUUAAGAUGUAUUGGCACAGAGAAGGCUCUGCUCUUCAAACAAAAGCUCCAAAUGCUCCAAAGGUUGGCCAGCUUAAUGUUCAGCCUCCAAACUUGGCAGUUGUCAAACAGUCCGUCAAAGAACGCCUAGGACCAGUUCCUUCCAAUAACACGGAGCCAGCUGAGGCACAGAGUGCUAAUACGGAAACUGUACAGACUAUUACAAAAGUACCAAUAAAGGAGAGAUUGGGUUUUAUUGCAAAACACUCUCCUCCCACCACCGAAAAGGUAAUGUCCACCUCUACAGGACUUACAAAAACCUUUUCCAACCCAGAAGCUUUAAAAGCCAUUCAAAAAUCCGUAAUAUACCCUACUGCAGUGGACAACACUGAUGCACAGAAAAAGAAACAGGAAGCACUAAAACUGCAACAAGAUGUAAGGAAGAAAAAGCAGGAAAUUUUGGAAAAACAUAUAGAAACACAGAAGAUGCUUAUAACAAAGUUGGAGAAAAAUAAGGGCACAAAGUCAGAUGACAAAGCGGAAAUUCUGAAAACCCUGGAAACCCUGACAAACCGUAUUACCAAACUAAGAGAUGAGCUGAAAGCAGUCUCCUCUUCUGGAAAUCCUUUGAAGAGUAGUAAAAGUAAAACUCAGAUGCAAAAGGAACUACUUGACACCGAGCUCGACUUGUACAAGAAACUUCAGGCGGGAGACGAUGUAGCAGAAUUAAGGCGGAAAUAUACAGAACUACAGCUUGAGGCUGCAAAGCGUGGUAUUCUUUCUUCUGGACGUGGAAGAGGGGCACACAUGAGAGGAAGAGGAAUGUCACGUGGAAGAGGCAGAGGCAGAGGCCGCGGCCGCGGUGUCUCAGUCCAUGCUGUGGUGGAUCACCGUCCAAAAGCACUAGAGAUCUUUGGGUUUAGUGAAAAUGAUAGGGAAGAUCUCCUUCCUCACUUUGCACAAUUUGGCGAGAUUGAAGACUGCCAGAUGGACCACUCUUCUCUUCGUUCUGUAAUCGUCUUCAAAACGAGAGCAGAAGCCGAGGCCGCUGCAAUCCAUGGAGCUCAUUUCAAAGGACAGAACUUAAAAUUAGCUUGGAGUAAACCAGUAGCAAAUCCAAGCAGUGCAGAAGUGGAAGAUGUAGAGCCGGAGGAGGAAGAUUUUCCAGAAGAGACUGCAGUGGAUGACUCUUUGCUGCAGGAUGAUGAUGAGGAGGAAGAGGAAAAUGAGCCUCGUUCUUGGAGGAGAUGAUUCCUUUUUGCCUUUGUGAUUGAGCUCUCGAUAUCUGGACUGCCGUUUAGUUGAACUAAAGCACUUUUCCAUGGGAUGUGUUCCUGCAUUUCUGUGUGAAAAGAUAUGCUGGACGAUUGGCUUGAACUCAGGACGUGAAAGCCUUCUGUAGUUGUCACAUUUCAGUAAAUGAUUGCACAAUGCAUCAUCAUAGACACAUAUGCAAUGGUUUUAUUACUUACACUUUGCUGGGUGUACAGUUUAGUUUUUAAGUUAAGGAAGUUGUGAAAAUGCAAUUUAACUUUUUUUUUCCUCACAAAGAAUUUGCUUUAAAAUCUAUGAAUGUUUUCAGACAUAAGUAGAUGAAUGCUAAAAUGGAAAUCUCAGUUGCUUAUGAAUACAUAAUGCAUAGUGUAGGCUUUACUAUGUAGUAGCCUUUUUGUUGAGCUCAUUUUGUGUACGUAACUUACGUAUUGGGUUUUAAAAACGUUGUUCAAAUGCUUUGCAAAAAAGUCCAUGUGACUUCAGUAUGUGCAAAAAAAAAAUAAAGUGGAAUGGUCCAAGAAAGAUGACAAAAACUAUAAUGAAAAUCCAGAUCUGUUGACAAAUGAAACAAAAAAAAAAAAAAAGUAAAAAAAAAAAACGUAAAAAAAAAAAUACAAAAACCAUUCCAAUGGUUUAACUGUAAAUAUUUGUUGUUAUGAUAAAUGACACCUCCAUUUCCUGUGCAACAUUUUCUGCAUUUUCUGAUAUGGAAAAUACGUUGUGUUACAUCGUGAUCGGGUGCCGUCUGUCAGACAGAAACGUGUACCAUGUGGGCGACCAUCCACCUGAAUUGAGAAAAACAAGACAAUGUUGGUGAUGUGGAUUAAGAGUUUUAGAACAUUGCCUGUUGCAAGUACUUUCUCCAAAAAACAGGUAGCGCAUGCUUCGUUAGUUUUUGUGUGUAAAGGGGGGUUUGUUGUACAUUGCCCAAGAAGACUUCAAUGCCUUCCACUGAACUUUUUUGUCUAGAUUUCAUUUUACAAAUAGUUUUUAUUUCAGUUUUAGCCAUUUUUCCCAAUUCUAGUGUGUUAGUGUUCUCUACAAAGUACAACUUUUGCAACUUAGCUUCCAGCCUUAAAUCUUAAAGCCCAUGAGAUAAAAUGCAGUUACAGAAGGGAGGACCAGACUUAACCAUGCAUCACACCUUUAAUAAAACACAGUGGACAUGAAGACUUCCACCAUCUAUAAAACCUCCUGGUGGUAACAUAGAUCAACUCCUGGUGGGAGAACGUGUAAUGCAGGGAUGUGUCCUAGAAGUGAUGCAAGAAGAAAUAUUUCUAUGAUAGAAUAUGAUUUGUUUUCAUUAAACCUAAAGGGUCACUUUGCUUUCAGGAAACUUUUGAUAUGUCAUAGAAAAAAGUUUUGUUCAGUGGUGGGAUCCCUAGAAGGAGGAAAGAGAGGAGCUCUCUUAUUGCACGUGAGGAAAUGAGACGGACUCAAUAACAAGUCUUUGGAGCCAUCUCAAUUCUGUGUCCUGCAGCUUGGAGACUGAGCGCGAUAUGCGAGCACUUCUCCCCUCGUUUUAGAGAUUGGUGAGAGUCUCACUCCUCUGACUCUCACCAAUCCAAAUUUUUGAUUUCUCUAUUAAAAGUUUUAAAAAAAAAACUGAAUAACCAUUUAACCCAGUGUUUUUCUUCAGGCAUGGCAGCAAUUAUUCAUUAAGUUGUGUUUCUUUUUGGCACCAACACUGCUUAGCAGAAACCAAAAUGCAAAUGAGCCUCUGCUGAGCUACAAAGGUCGUUAUCUGGGGGUGGAAAUGUCAGAUCUGGGCAUUGUGCAGUUGGAUGUUCUAAAUGCCACCGAGGCACAGUACCUGCACACAGUUUACACUAAUUGCCCAGAUGAACUUUUUCCUGCUGCUGUUUCAAGUACAAAUAGUGGUCAUCAGCCCCAAAUGUGUAAUAGUGCUCCUAGUGGUUUUCUAAAGCAGACAAGGUCUGUAAUAAUUUACAUUUAUUAGAUGGUUUGUCUGGGAAUUUAUAUUGAUGGCCUUUCCUCAAUAUCAGAUUGGUGGGGGUCCAACACACAGGACCCCUGCAGUUUCUUCAUAGGCCACUGAGCACAGCUGCUAUACAAUGUACAGCUCUGUGCUUGGAAGGCUGCCGGGAGCUCCGGUGAGUGCAGCAGCUGAUCGGCGAGGACCCCGCUGAUGUCAUAAUGAUGACCUAUCCUGAGAAUAGGUCGUCAUUAUCAAUUCCUGGAUAACAUCGUUAAUCCUUUUAUUAUCUGUAGGUUAUCGUCUGCUUCUUGUAAACCAAGAAUAUAAGUGCAGAGUUUCAUUCACGGCUUGUUUCUCUCUUGCAGGUUGAUCCUUCUGUUUUGGUGGUAUCCCAUAAAGCAGCAACACACACAUUUGCACUACUAAACAGUGGAUUUUCCCUGUUGUCUGACACACAAUUGUUUUUCUUCUGUACAUUAGUCAAAUACGUUUUCUUCCUACUUGGUUAUCUGCAGUCUUUAGUGCUGUAACUAAAACAGUUCCCAUCUUAAUCAAAGCUCAGACUAAUAGCAUGGAAUCAUUCAGUUUAUGAAGUAAGUAUAAAUCUUGUACAUCUUUAGAGAAUCCACAUACAUAGAAAAGUGCCUGAUUUGAGCAGGUGUCGAUGUACAGACUGUAUACACCUGAAAGGUCUGCAGGAAGCUACAUAUGGAGCUGUACAAGUGUGCAUAGGUAAAAAAAGAUUAUCAAAGGGUAUAAACACCUUUGCUAUGAUAUAUUUUUUUGCUUCAUAAAUGCGACAUUAAACAACUUUUUUUUUUUAAAUAGUUUUCAUUAAAAAUUUCCUACCAUUUUGCUUUUGCUGUUUGUGUGUGUAAGUCCUUCACCAAGCUACUUAUUAUCCAGAACCUGACAUAAAUCCAUGAGAACUCGGCUCCAAUUUCGACAGCUCUUUCCCUGCCU